CUUACUGCCUUCUAUGCCCCGUCUGACGACAUUCAUUCCUUCUCUAUGGUCCAAUCAGAUGCUCAUAGAAAAGUACUUGUUUGGACAAUUCUCACCGGCUUAGAGAGCAUGCACACGCUCUAAGCCAAGAAGGGGAAGGUGAGAGUGCAGGUGGAUAAGGGAGGGAAUUAAAAAAAAUGAAUGCACAUUAUGGACUGGGAAGGUUGAAAGAAGUCAGGGAGAGAAAGUACA